CGCCAGAGUAUCGGUGGUGGUCUGGUAAGCGCGUUGCCUAUGAGAUCACGCCUAUAUUCGCUUUA
rfam:Angiostrongylus cantonensis strain Taiwan genome assembly, scaffold: ACAC_contig0000218